AUCUAGGCUGAAUUUCUUUGUAUAAUCUUCAAAAAUAAGAUGAGGUCACUAUUUCAUACUGAGAAUUUUUUCUGGUUUUGUGAGCAAAAUUUGCCCAUGCGUGUGGGUCAAGUGCCAUAUGGACAGUUCUUUUGUGAAUCUGGCAUUAGCAUACUUAUUUUACCCUACUUUAGAACUCGCCGACGAAUUACUGUAACUUGUAAUACAGUACCAAUCUUAUCAAGUUGUUUAAUUGAGAAAUAAACGGAUUUAUUCCUCAAUUCGGUACAUUUAAUAUGAUUUUUCUAUUACAACUGCAAUCUGGCCUUUAAACAGGAAAUUUUCAAGUGUUUUCCUUGUAGAAAUUAAUUAGUUAUUAUUUUUUGAGCUUUUAUGUUUCUGUAAAGAUUCGUCCAAAAUAGGUUAUGGGUUAUUGGGCUUAUGUGCUAUGCGUAUUCCAUACCUACUUGUAUGCGCUUGAUGUGUACAAAUUACAGAUCCUGAUGAAGUAACUCCAGCGUUGUUGUGGUAUCUGUCAAGCGCAUUGAUUUGGCUGGUUUUGUUUGAUCAAAUUGCUUUCCGAUGUGAAUGGUUGGUCAUCAUUUUGGGUCUUAGAAUUCACAUUGCAACGCAAAGAGACUACAUGAUUCUGAAUCAGAAUGGAUGUUUUUUUCUCAGUCGUCUCAUUGUCAUUGGCUGUAUUGUAUUUAAGUGAUUACACCGCUAUUGCAUACGUCCCAAAGUACGACUAUGUCAUGAUAGGUGAGGUUCUAAAUGUAUAUUACGCUGGUGAUGCAGAGGGACUAAAAUUUGCUGGCGUUGCGCCUGAGGUGGUUUGCUUCAUAGCCAUGAAGCAUACGCAUACGGAAGUACCUCAACCUACAAAUCCAAUGAAACAUAAUGGCCGCUAUCACGAGUGCCAUCUCCCGGAGGGUUGCGCUGUUGCGGAGAGAACGAUGAUUUUGAAUAAAACACUCGAAAUGAGAUGUACUUAUUCUAAGACUGAGUUAGAUCUUGAUACCAACAACGUUGCUGUUGGUAUAGAGCAUGAAGAUAAAGGUUAUUUUCGGCCGAAUACCUAAUGAUGCGAAAGUUUGGACCAGUGGUGAUAUGUGCCAGGGGGUGAUUUAUUUUUUAACUCGAUUUUUAUAUUGAAAUUUAAAUAAAUGUAUUUCAAAAGAAAAAACCAA